rnacentral:rRNA from 1 species
GACGAACGCUGGCGGCGUGCUUAACACAUGCAAGUCGAACGGAAAGGCCCUGCUUUUGUGAGGUGCUCGAGUGGCGAACGGGUGAGUAACACGUGAGUAACCUGCCCUUGACUUUGGGAUAACUUCAGGAAACUGGGGCUAAUACCGGAUAGGAGCUCCUGCUGCAUGGUGGGGGUUGGAAAGUUUCGGCGGUUGGGGAUGGACUCGCGGCUUAUCAGCUUGUUGGUGGGGUAGUGGCUUACCAAGGCUUUGACGGGUAGCCGGCCUGAGAGGGUGACCGGCCACAUUGGGACUGAGAUACGGCCCAGACUCCUACGGGAGGCAGCAGUGGGGAAUAUUGCACAAUGGGCGGAAGCCUGAUGCAGCAACGCCGCGGGCGGGAUGACGGCCUUCGGGUUGUAAACCGCUUUCGCCUGUGACGAAGCGUGAGUGACGGUAAUGGGUAAAGAAGCACCGGCUAACUACGUG